UCUCCUCCUCCUCCUCCUCCCCCUUUCCCUGCGUGCGUAAUUAGUUGGAGAGUGUUUGGAAAGUUGUGAUGGCCGUGAAAAAAAUCUCACUUUAUUUCUGACACCUGUUGCUGAGAGCACAGCUCACAGCGCAGCGAGUGCCACUCUUUUCUGUCGGGACUUCUGGAUACUGUCAGUCGCAAACCUAUACCUCUGUACAUUCCCACAAAUCAACUUUUUUCCUUUGUUCUUUUGCUCUUUCUUUACUCAAACAACGACUUUCGUGUGACAUCGAGGAGUGAAAGUCAGACUGUGAAGCGUGCUGCUGUGGGAUCUUCCCGAACGGGAUAUCUCCUUCCAUUGAAAACAGCGAUCUGUCUGCACUUUCCCAACCGGACAGAGAGUAACAAUUUUCGGUCGUUAGCGCUUCUGAUGGUGGGUGAAGAAAGUUUUCUUGGACAACCGAUCAACGACGUUAAUCCAGCACAACACACCAGACGCAGACAGAGCAAGCAUAAACUCUUUGUGAGCCUAGACCUACUUCACCUUCACACACCUCCACACAGUCACACUGGGAUCUGGCCUGAACAAAAAACACUCUUCAGCAGCUGCUACUAAACGACUCAGGAGCGGUUGGAGGUUGGGUGCUGACUACAGCAGACUGUCGGACAGAGGUGCUUUUUCUUCCGCUUCUCUGCCUCUUCCCUGACUAUGCCAGCUUUAAAACCACAGAGCACUUUCCCGGCGUUGAAGCGGCGGACCAUGGACAACAAGCCUGUCCGGACAAAACGAACCGGUGCCGUCCGACAUCUGCUGUUGGCUGCCGCCUUCCUUGUCUGCAGCUCGCAACUGCUGAUGGUGGACGCGAACUCGUGGUGGUCACUUGGUCUGACCCCGAUGCAGCGGCCAGAGAUGUACAUUAUUGGAGCUCAGCCUCUCUGCAGUCAGCUGUCUGGUCUCUCCCAGGGUCAGAGGAAGCUGUGCCAGCUGUACCAAGACCACAUGACCUAUAUUGGAGAUGGAGCCAAGACAGGCAUCAAGGAAUGUCAGUACCAGUUCAGACAGAGGAGGUGGAACUGCAGCACAGUGGACAACACUUCAGUGUUUGGGCGGGUCAUGCAGAUUGGCUCCAGGGAAACAGCCUUCACCUACGCCAUCAGCGCAGCCGGUGUGGUCAAUGCCGUCAGCCGUGCGUGCCGCGAAGGCGAGCUCUCCACCUGCGGCUGUAGCCGCGCUGCUCGCCCCAGAGACCUGCCGCGUGACUGGCUGUGGGGUGGCUGCGGUGAUAAUGUGCAUUACGGCUACAGGUUUGCUCGGGAGUUCGUCGACGCCAGGGAGAGGGAGAAGAAUUACCCCCGAGGGUCACCCGAGCAUGCCCGGAUGCUGAUGAACUUGCAUAAUAAUGAAGCAGGGAGACAGGCGGUUUACAACCUGGCUAAUGUGGCCUGUAAGUGUCAUGGAGUUUCGGGUUCCUGCAGUUUGAAGACCUGUUGGCUUCAGCUGGCCGACUUCAGACGUGUUGGAGAGUUCCUGAAAGAGAAAUACGACAGCGCAGCAGCCAUGCGGGUCGGACGCAAGGGAAAGCUGGAGCUUCUAGACAAGCGCUUCAACCCACCCACCACUCAGGACAUGGUCUACAUCGACCCCAGCCCGGAUUAUUGCCUCCGCAAUGAGACGACAGGAUCGCUGGGCACCCAGGGCCGACUCUGCAACAAAACCUCAGAGGGCAUGGACGGCUGCGAGCUGAUGUGCUGCGGCAGAGGUUACGACCAGUUUAAGACCUACAAGCACGAGCGCUGCCACUGCAAGUUCCACUGGUGCUGCUACGUCAAGUGCAAACGCUGCACGACGCUCGUGGACCAGUUUGUGUGUAAAUAGCGCACUUCAGGAUUUGGAGGAGGCGGCGGUGACGACUAAGGGCGCCAGAGGUGACGGGACGGUGAUGUUUCGAGAGUUUUGUUCAGGAUUAGACGCACAAAAAUCAGAUUUCUGACAAAUGUCCUCAUCUCCCACCAUUUCACAUCAAGCCAAGCAAAAAGCAAAAAAAAUAAAAAUAAAAAAUAAAAACUGCAUAGCACCUGUGCAGCAUAUUUUUUGGAAGUAAAUAACACAUCAAUGGAUGGAAAGGUAGGGCAAAAGACACCUCGGAUUUUAUUUCCCCCCACAUCGCUUUCUGCUGUCGUCUUUGGAGUCCUGAUCACAAUCAUAAAGGAAACAAGCAAAGCUGAUGGACAAUGAAUGAUACUGAGGAUGAACAACUGGAUCUGUGAGAGGAGAUGUGACUGGUGUGAGAUGAAAAAAUAAAUAUAUAAUUAAAUAAUAAAUAAAUACACAACUCUUGAUUGCUAUUUAAAGAGACUCAAAUAAACCCAGGACACAGUUUGGACCCCACCCUUCAGAGAAAUCUAUUGAUGCUUUGGGAAAAGUGAUCACUUGUGUCACCAUGUAUGUUGUCUGACCUUUUAACCCUGCAAGAGAGAUUCUGAGAUUUAAGAGAAUGGUUAACAUGCACAGCAGAAAUCCAGAAAAGUUCCGAUUGGUGGUGUAAAUAAGGUAGGAAAUUAAUCAAAAAGAUAAAUAAAUGAAAAGUAGGAAUACACAAAUGCGCGCACAAGCUGCAUCUGUUUCUGUUUCACAACACAGUGAGGUUCAGGGGAAAAAAACUCUUCAAAAGACUAAAUGCACCACCUGUUUUGUACAAGUAGCAGCAGAGGGUGUAGCUGCUGCUGUUCCUUGUAUCAUCAAAGCAGUAAUCCUGCACCCGUGACCUGACAAGUGUGACUAUGCAGGUUAAUGAGGCUUGGUGGUUGAAGCCAUCUUGACACCACGGCUGUUUAAACAAGCAGCUCACACCGGCCGUCCGGCUCCGUGACCUUCACGUGACAGCAAAACCUUUGAUCCCAUCAGAUGGCCAAACAGCUUGUCCAGUCCUGGACUCUUCUUCUGCUCUUUUAUAUCUAAAUCAUCGAGGCUGGAUUCUCCCACAGCUUCUUUAUGGAACCAGCAGAAUGGCUUCAUCAUGUAUCUGCAACUGUAAAAUAUCCCAGCAGAAUUUGCUCAAAGCUGAAUGUCAAGUGCACAGUCACGGUUAAGCAAGUCUGUAUGGUGACCUUACUAACAAUCCCAUUACUUUUAGCUGCUCACGAGUAAUUGGAUUAGACUACUGACCAGAGCACCAUGACCGACCUACAGCGCUGUCCCUGUGUAAUCCUCCUCACCUACCUUUGUAGGCAAUCUGCACUUGCUGGUUAGGUAGUAUGAUAAUUUCAGUGUGCACGUGUUGGUUGUGUAUCUACAAAUGCAUACCUAUCAGCCACAAUAUUAAAAAAAGCUCCAUGGCAGAAUUGGCCUUCUUCAGCCAGACAAAACUACAAAACGAGGCAGCACCAAAGCUCUGCAGAUCCUAAUCACAUAAAAAAAAUCAUUGGUGUGUAAUUAAACAAGGCAAAUCCUUGGGGGACCCACAGGAAGCAGCAGGUCUGCUCUCAGUAUCUCAGUACUGGACACAAGGGGACAUCCCAGGUCACUGCUGUUUCGGUGGCAUGUUGGCCCUCUACCGUUUUAGGCAGGUGGUUUUAAUGUUGUGGCCCAUCGGCAUAUGUGUGCAUUUAAUGGAGAUUAGAAGAGUGAAAGUGUAACCUGAUGGUCGGUCUAAUCCUUUUUACCUGACAGCCAUCUGCUGUUGUGAUGCCGCUAAGUUGAAAUCUCUGAAACAAACAACCAACAGCGAGUAAUUCUUCCUUUCUUUGAUGAGGCCUUCUCAUCCCGUGAGAAUAUUGCUGGUUAUGUUUACAAAAAUAGUUCAGAAGAGUAUGGAUGCCAAACUGUCUGACUUAAAGAUGUUUUGUUGACCAGAAAAUGUUUGCAAACUGGUCAGGAACACCAUUAAUGAGACCCGGCUCCAGGAAGACCUCUUGGCGUCUGACUGCCAGCUUGUUAGUUGUUUAGCCUAACCAGUUUAACAGCAUCUUUUCUUCCUUAUGCACUUGGACUACAUUGCUGUGACAAUGACUCACACAAUUUAUCAUAACAACAUAACAUUUGUCUCCUUUCUCGGAGGUGUUUUGACAUUGAGCAAUGAGCUCAUUUCCUGUACAACCUGUCCUCCCCACAUGUUGGAGAAGGAGUUGGAAGCUCUGGUUGCUUGUCCCAUGUCCAGCGAUAAGCAACCUAAGAGGCUGAAAUCCUCCAUUAUGGGAGAAAAACUAGCAGCAAAUAGCUGUGAACUACAACAAAUCUGAUGCGUUUAAAUAUGCAGAACAUGUUGUUCUUUGUACAAACCACAGUGAGUCAUGGCGAUAAAGUGUUAUAAUGUCAUUGGUAUUCAACUGCAUUUUAUUUUAGUUACUGUAUUUAGCAUCAAGACAAAGCUGCUUUUCAUCAUUUUACUGAGGCUGUACAUUAUGCCAGAAGCAAACUACACAUGGGGAUGUCACACGUGGUGUUUAUAGAUUAUCCAGCAGCUGUUGUGGUUAAAGAGAUCUAUAUGCAAACUCUCUGAUCUGGAUUAGCUGAACUGAACGAGAGACACAACCCCACUUUUUCAGACACACACACAUGCGCACAGUAAUUCAAAAGCCUGUUUCUGAAUCGGCUGCUCUGUUUGUGUCUUUUUCGGAGCUCAAAGACCAAGUUAACCACAGAUGCUCAGACACUUAUCCAUAAGCUCAUUCAACCAUAUGCUUUCUGCGAGAUUUGGCCGCAGCAGAACGGAUCACUGAGUCCCAAUGAACCAGAAUAUCUAAUCUUCUGUAGAUGUGGAAAAACCAUGUAUGGUCAGUUCCCACAUCAAUACAGCAACAACUUCUUUCGUCCUUAUUGACGUUUAUCGCACGGUUUGUAAUUACACAAAAUGCUUAUUCAGGUUAAAAAAACACUGCACAAUGAGGACAGAUGUAAGAAACCAACAUGUUUAUUAAUGAAGAGUGACGCCAAACAUAAAGCAACCAGGCAUCAUGAGAAUAUAUUAACAUCAAGUUAAGCCAGUCUUGUUAGUUAUUCAGGGCCUUUUCAAGUGUUAUGCCAAAACAGACUCAGUAUUCAGAUCUAGCAACCUACACCUAAGGAACAAAACAAUUAGCAAUGCACAGUCUUCUUGUCUGGCUUGGCAACUUUGCUUAACUGAAAGCUACGUUAGUUAGUAAUUAAAACUUGCCCUGGCCCGUGAAGGAGAGAAUGAGAGGUGCAGUAACCUUAACAGGUGUGGUGGGUGUUACACAGUUAACAUCAGGUGUUUUAUUCUUCUGUAAACCCUGCGAGGACACGUGACCAUAUUGGGGGGGGUUGUGACUGCUUCUGUUUUUCCAUAGAGGUGAUCUUGCAUUGUUUAUAGUGGGUGUUCAAGGAAGCUUGCUAAAAUAAAACUUUC